rnacentral:ncRNA from 1 species
GACACAGGUGGUCAGGUAGAGAAUACCAAGGCGCUUGAGAGAACUCGGGUGAAGGAACUAGGCAAAAUGGUGCCGUAACUUCGGGAGAAGGCACGCUGAUAUGUAGGUGAAGUCCCUCGCGGAUGGAGCUGAAAUCAGUCGAAGAUACCAGCUGGCUGCAACUGUUUAUUAAAAACACAGCACUGUGCAAACACGAAAGUGGA